rnacentral:rRNA from 1 species
CCGCUUGCAAGUAAACAAAUGGACCCACGAAGUCCAGUUGAGUGAGAGAUUCAUAUACUUCGAGAGGCGAAGUUUGUAGUGCAGUGCUCUUAGUAGUACGGCUACGAACUUGCAGUCAAUUGAGGUGUGCAUUUCUUUUUGCUCACGAUGGAGCUCUGACUGCUUAGCUGUAUACCUUAACUGCUUCGGGCAGCCGUUGAUUGUGGUGCUUACUUUCGAGUAAGAUCUCACUGUUUCUUCGGUGUAGUAAGUGAGGUGAUGCUGAGCAGGUGAAUAACUCACAAUAUGUGAGUGAUGUCAGAUUGUCGAUGUGACUAGUGUGUCAAGUACUUGGUGGAGAGGACCUUUCGUCUCUUGUAGUUGAAAACUUGUCCACUAUACAGUGCUUAAGUGCAUGCUAGAAGCAUCAAUGAUAAUCCAGAGUAAGUAGGUCGGUCAUCCAUUUGACCCGUCUUGAAACACGGACCAAGGAGCCCAACAACUGCGCGAGUCGCUCAGUCUUGCAUAGGCUCGAGAGGCGAAAUAAACAUAAUGGUGUGAUCCUGUGGUUAAACACAGGCGCAACACCAACCUGCUAUAGUUGCUUAAUUGUCAGCUUAGCGGAGUUUGAGCGUAGUUGUUGGUACCCGAAAGAUGGUGAACUAUACUUGGGCAAGACGAAGCCAGAGGAAACUCUGGUGGAGGUCUGUAGCGAUUCUGACGUGCAAAUCGAUCGUCAGACCUGAGUAUAGGGGCGAAAGACUAAUCGAACCAUCUAGUAGCUGGUUCCUUCCGAAGUUUCCCUCAGGAUAGCUGGCACAAACACGGACUCUGUAGCACCCGGUAAAGCGAAUGAUUAGAGGUAUUGGGAUCGAAACGAUCUCAACCUAUUCUCAAACUUAAAAUGGGUGCGGAGCUUGACUUAUUUGGAGUAAAGUCUUGCUUUUGUAAGAGGUGUGCCAAGUGGGCCAUUUUUGGUAAGCAGAACUGGCGCUGUGGGAUGAACCAAACACUGAGUUAAAGUACCGAAUGCGGACGCUCAUGAGACCCCAUGAAAGGUGUUGGUUGCUAUAGACAGC